ACCCGCUGAAUUUAAGCAUAUAAGUAGGUGGUGAAUGAGAAACUUACAGGGAUUCCCUAAGUAAUGGCGAAUGCAUGGGGACAGGCUCAGCGUGGAACUUGGGACUUCCCGUCCUGAAUUGUAGCCUUAAGAAGUGCAACUAGCAAAGGCGCAGCUGUAGGCUCUUGGGAAUGAGCGUCAAUGAGGGCGAACACCCUCCUUGUUCCCUGCAGCCCUUUGUGCACGGUUCACGAUCUAAGAGUCACACUCCUUGGGAAUGGUGUGCGAAGCGAGUGGCAACGUUCACUUAAAGCUCAACAUGCGCCUAAGACCGAUAGCGAACAAGUACCUUGAGGGAAAGGUGAAACAGGACUUUGAAAAGAUAGAUAAUACUCCCUGAGCAUGUUGAUAAGGAAGUGGAUAAGCUCAACGGUUCUUGGUGAGGUUGCUGUGCAGGGAUGUGCUGGCUCGCUGUCCAUUUGGAAAAAUGGCAACGCGCCCCGAUCGGAACAUGCUCAGUGCGCCUUGCCCUGGCGACCAGUGUGAGUUCGCGGCUGGAAGGUAUGUGUAGGAAGCUGGACAACUGUCUUUGGGCAUGCGUAUAUGUCAGCUUGUGCUUGUGUAUGUGCUCUCGGUGGGCCACUGGCUUGUCCACCCCGUCUUGAAACACGGAUCAAGGAGUCUAACAUGUGUGCGAGCUCAUUAGUGGCAAAGACUUGUGUGCAUUGUGAAAAUGUUUGUUGGGAUGGGUGCACCAACGACUGGCAUUUCGACUGAAAGGUCUGAGUGUGAGUAUGCAUGAUAGGACCCGAAAGAUGGUGAACUAUUCCUGUGAAAAGCAAAGUCAGGGGAAACUUUGAUGGAGGCUUGCAGCGGUAUUGACGUGCAAAUUGUUCGUUAUACAUGGGGAUAGGGGUGAAAGACUAAUCGAACCAUCUAGUAGCUGGUUCUCUCCAAAGUUUCCCUCAGGAUAGCUGGACUUGAACAGUUGUAUCAGGUAAAGCAAAUGAGUCGAGGAAUCGGGGGCUUGUUGCCCUCGACCUAUUAUCAAACUCUGAAUAGGCGAGACCUAAAUGUUAUCAGUGUAAACGUUUAGGGAAAGCGACAAGUUCAAGUGGGCCAUUUUUGGUAAGCAGAACUGGCGAUGAGGGAUGAACCUAACGUCGGAGUGAGGAGCCGAAGCUCUUGCUCAUGGGAUACCAUAAAGGGUGUUGGUUCAUUUUGACAGCAGGACGGUGGUCAUGGAAGUUGAAAGCCGCUGAGGAGUGUGUAACAACUCACCAGCCGAAUGAACCAGCCCUGAAAAUGGGUAGCGCUCAAGUAGGUGACCAAUAUCCGACCAUUGCCGCAACAUUGCUGUGUCAACGAGUAGGAGAGCGUGGUGUUUGUCAUGCAGCCUCAGGCGCAAGCCUGGGCGGAACAAAUGCUGGUGCAGAUCUUGGUGGUAGUAGC
rnacentral:rRNA from 1 species